rnacentral:rRNA from 1 species
AUUGAACGCUGGCGGCAGGCCUAACACAUGCAAGUCGAACGGUAACAGGAAGCAGCUUGCUGCUUCGCUGACGAGUGGCGGACGGGUGAGUAAUGUCUGGGAAACUGCCUGAUGGAGGGGGAUAACUACUGGAAACGGUAGCUAAUACCGCAUAACGUCGCAAGACCAAAGAGGGGGACCUUAGGGCCUCUUGCCAUCGGAUGUGCCCAGAUGGGAUUAGCUAGUAGGUGGGGUAACGGCUCACCUAGGCGACGAUCCCUAGCUGGUCUGAGAGGAUGACCAGCCACACUGGAACUGAGACACGGUCCAGACUCCUACGGGAGGCAGCAGUGGGGAAUAUUGCACAAUGGGCGCAAGCCUGAUGCAGCCAUGCCGCGUGUAUGAAGAAGGCCUUCGGGUUGUAAAGUACUUUCAGCGGGGAGGAAGGGAGUAAAGUUAAUACCUGUGCUCAUUGACGUUACCCGCAGAAGAAGCACCGGCGAACUCCGU